UAACAGUGUUGUGUUAUUCUUUUUUUUUCAGGGAAAGAGAUAGAAGUAUCAAAAUGCCAAGGCUGUAAAUUUUUUUAUUUUUUAUUUUUUUUCUCUUUCACAGCACUGAGAAACAAAUGAAAAAAUACGUACAAUACAUCUGUUUUACUUCUUCAUAUGCCAUGUUGAGUCAUCCUUGUGGAAUUUGUACCUGGCUAUGCAGAAGGUUUAUUAUGAAUACUUUUCUUGGUGACAGCAAACCUGUCUUGAGCAGAAGUACACACAAACAGGAGAAUCUUUGCACCAGGAUUGCCCUGGUAUAACUUCAUCAACUACAGCAAGACUUCUUCUUCCAAAAUAAAUUAAGAAUAUUCUGAAACUUCA
rnacentral:lncRNA from 1 species